CCUACGGGUGGCAGCAGUAGGGAAUUUUGCUCAAUGGGGGAAACCCUGAAGCAGCAACGCCGCGUGGUCGAUGCAGGCUUUGGGAUUGUAAAAUCUUUCAGUUAGGGCGGAUCUUGACGGUACCCACAGAGUAAGCACCGGCUAACUCCGUGCCAGCAGCCGCGGUAAUACGGGGGGUGCAAGCGUUUUACGGAAUCAUUGGGCGUAAAGAGUUCGUAGGCGGGAUGUCAAGUCUGGUGGUAAAUGCAGAGGCUCAACUACUGAACGGCAUUGGAUACUGGCGAUCUAGAGUGCGGGAGAGGUAGGUGGAAGUCUUGGUGUAGCGGUGAAAUGCGUAGAGAUCAGGAGGAAUAUUGGUGGCGAAGGCGAUCUACUGGGACGUAACUGACGCUGAGGAGCGAAAGCCAGGGGAGCAAACGGGAUUAGAUACCCGGGUAGUC
rnacentral:rRNA from 1 species